UACGUAGGGCGCAAGCGUUGUCCGGAAUUAUUGGGCGUAAAGAGCUCGUAGGCGGCUUGUCACGUCGGGUGUGAAAGCCCGGGGCUUAACCCCGGGUCUGCAUUCAAUACGGGCUGGCUGGAGUGUGGUAGGGGAGAUCGGAAUUCCUGGUGUAGCGGUGAAAUGCGCAGAUAUCAGGAGGAACACCGGUGGCGAAGGCGGAUCUCUGGGCCAUUACUGACGCUGAGGAGCGAAAGCGUGGGGAGCGAACAGG
rnacentral:rRNA from 1 species